UCUGUAGCUCAGUUGGAUAGAGCAUCGGCCUUCUAAGCCGAGGGUCGGGGGUUCGAAUCCCUCCAGGC
rnacentral:tRNA from 1 species